GGUACAGGGGUAUUUUCUGUACGGGCCUUAAAGUCUAAUAUGGGCUCAGGCUAGGGUUAGUAUAAAUAGUAUGUUGUAACCCUAUUUUUCAGAGCUGAAUAAAGAAAUCUCCGCUUCGCUCUCGUGGACGUAGGCACACCGCUGAACCACGUAAAAUUCUUGUGUUGAUUUUCGUUUUCAUCUCUUUAAUAUUGCGCAUAAAAUCUAACAAUAGUCAUGGUAGCUUCCUCACUUUUUGGCGUUGGAAAGAAGUCACAGUGUGAAAUAAAGGAGAUAGUACUGGGAAAUUUUCUGUUGCAAUUGAUUUGUAUCAAAAUUGUCCUAUACUUGUAGAUGUGAUUACUAUACACAUCCAAGAUGCACUUUUCUAUGUUAUUUUCUGAUAAUAUAGUUUCAAUUCGUGUACUGAUGAUAUAGUUUUAAUUCAUGUCCUGAUAAUAAAGUUCUAGUUCCUUUAGAAGUUCAGUUGUGCUUGGAACAACAAUGUUGGGGAAUCAAAUUAUAGCAGUAUGUUGACUGAAGGGUGAUUGUUUAUGUGCUGUAGUUCGAGUAUUUCUAAGAAAGGGAGAUAUGGAGGGAAUGUAAUGUGUAAAGAUAUAUUGCGUGUUAGAUGAAACAGAUAAAUGCUUUAAAUAUCCCGAAGAUUCGAUUUUUCUUGGACCUCAUAGAAGAGAUAGUUUUGGAUUUAGCACCAGUGAUAAGUUUCUCUCCAUUAUCCAUUGGUUAUGAAACACAUGAAUUUGCAAAUGCAAACUGAAAGAUGGGGAACUUUACCAUGUAUGUUUUUUGGUAACGAUUCAGCUUGUCAGAAGCACCUCUUGAAACAUUUUGUCAGGGGUUCAGAAAUGAUCAUACCAUAUGGGCUUGGUUGGGGGACUGUUUUUUGUUCAUUUGGAUAUUCUUGAGCAUCAUUUCAUAAAGGAGUAAUUAUUUGUCUGUGUUGUCACUGGUACUGGGGGCACUCCAACAAACUGCUUCCAGUUUUUCUUAUUAUAUUCCUUCUGUAUCAUGGUCAACUGACAUCAGUCAGUUUUGUAGAACUUCCUUUGUAUCACAAUGUAACACUCACCCAUUUAAUGUCUGGCUACACAUCUAUAGGAUACAAAUUGACACAAUUAAUUUUAAUUUUCAGGUGGAAAGUAUAGUUCUAAGCAUCAUAUCGAUGCUUUCAAGUCCUAAUGAUGAAUCUCCUGCAAAUGUUGAAGCUGCUAAGGAAUGGAGAGAACAGAGGGACAAUUUCAAGAAAAAAGUUAGUCAAUGUGUAAGACGGUCACAAGAAAUGAUGUAAACUUUUGCCCCUAUGCUGCUCAGGCAUUUUCUUAGAACAUAUAAACUGAAGAACUGGUUUUCUUUUUUGGGUACCAAAUGGUACAAACAUUGUAAUUCUCUAAUGAUAAUAUCUUAUGUUUUCUCAAUGCCUCGUUUGUUUAUUGCA